UUGUCUCAAAGAUUAAGCCAUGCAUGUCUCAGUACAAACCGCAUUAAGGUGAAACCGCGAAAGGCUCAUUAUAUCAGUUAUGGUUCAUUAGAUCGUACCCCACAUUUACUUGGAUAACUGUGGUAAUUCUAGAGCUAAUACAUGCAAACAGAACUCCGACCGGAGACGGAAGGAGCGCUUUUAUUAGAUCAAAACCAAUAGGCGUCGGCGGCCGGCCGGCUCGUUCCGGUCGCGUCGUCGUCGUUACAUAGCUCGCACGACGAAUCUGAAUAACUUUAUGCCGAUCGCACGGUCUCGCACCGGCGACGCAUCUUUCAAAUGUCUGCCUUAUCAACUUUCGAUGGUAGGUUAUGCGCCUACCAUGGUUGUAACGGGUAACGGGGAAUCAGGGUUCGAUUCCGGAGAGGGAGCCUGAGAAACGGCUACCACAUCCAAGGAAGGCAGCAGGCGCGCAAAUUACCCACUCCCGGCACGGGGAGGUAGUGACGAAAAAUAACGAUACGGGACUCAUCCGAGGCCCCGUGAUCGGAAUGAGCACACUUUAAAUCCUUUAACUAGGAUCAAUUGGAGGGCAAGUCUGGUGCCAGCAGCCGCGGUAAUUCCAGCUCCAAUAGCGUAUAUUAAAGUUGCUGCGGUUAAAAAGCUCGUAGUCGAAAUUGUGUCCCGGGCCGCCGGUUCGUCGCUCGCGACGUCAACUGGCGCGCACGCGGGACGUCAAGCCGGUGCCACGAACCCGCCGACGGUGCUCUUAACCGAGUGUCCAGGCGGGGGCCGGCAACGUUACUUUGAACAAAUUAAAGUGCUCAAAGCAGGCUAAACUGCGCUCGUAUAAUUAGUGCAUGGAAUAAUCGAAUAGGACCUCUGUUCUAUUUUGUUGGCUUUUGUAGAACGCACAGAGGUAAUGAUCAAUGGGUGCGGAUGGGGGCAUUCGUAUUGCGACGUUAGAGGUGAAAUUCUUGGAUCGUCGCAAGACGCACUAAAGCGAAAGCAUUUGCCAAAAACGCUUUCAUCGAUCAAGAACGAAAGUUAGAGGUUCGAAGGCGAUCAGAUACCGCCCUAGUUCUAACCAUAAACUAUGCCAGCCAGCGAUCCGCCGCAGUUACUUCUAUGACUCGGCGGGCAGCUCCCGGGAAACCAAAGCUUUUGGGUUCCGGGGGAAGUAUGGUUGCAAAGCUGAAACUUAAAGGAAUUGACGGAAGGGCACCACCAGGAGUGGAGCCUGCGGCUUAAUUUGACUCAACACGGGAAACCUCACCAGGCCCGGACACCGAAAGGAUUGACAGAUUGAGAGCUCUUUCUUGAUUCGGUGGGUGGUGGUGCAUGGCCGUUCUUAGUUGGUGGAGCGAUUUGUCUGGUUAAUUCCGAUAACGAACGAGACUCUAGCCUGCUAAAUAGGCGACUAAACGCGACGCACGUCGUCGUGUUACAGACAUCUCGAAGGCCCGCGUG
rnacentral:rRNA from 1 species